AUGAAGACACCGAAGCAAACAAGGUUAAGUGACUUGCCAAAGGUCACACAAUAUGUGUCUGAGAUGGAUCACCCUUCUCAAAUCUGCAGAGAAACCAGAGGAUUUGGUUAUCACUUGAACAGUGAAUUCCCCGGUUCUCCUGAACACCAAUGUUUAAUGGACUGUGGCCAAAGACUGUUAAUCCUCCCAGCCUCCCCCAGUGCCUCCAAGGACUUGGCAACUCCAUAUGACAACAGGAGCUGGUGGCAUUCUCUCAUGAGAUCCUCCCAACGCCCCCACGGGGUCUUCAAGCAGCAAGUAUCUUCCUUAUGGAGAAAGGAAGGUCAAAUGAACUGCCAAGCAGUAAGACAAUGGCAGAGCCGUAAAUAGAACUUAGGAUUUCUCAUUAUAUUGGUCAGAGGUUUCAAAGAAUCAAAGACAUCUAUUUUUUAAAGGAGGAAAAAACAUAGAAUGCUAUGAAACCCCAAUCCAUUCUGUAUGCCGCUCUCAGAAUAAUUUCCUUUAAUGGACUUCUUUGAGCAAGUUCCUCCUUUACUCAAAAACUUUAAUGAUUCCCUGUUGCCUACUAAAUAAAAUGCAAAUUCCUUAACCUGGCA
rnacentral:lncRNA from 1 species